GUGGGAGUGGCGGGUGCUAUACAUGCAGUCGAGCGGACAGAUGGGAGCUUGCUCCCUGAUGUUAGCGGCGGACGGGUGAGUAACACGUGGGUAACCUGCCUGUAAGACUGGGAUAACUCCGGGAAACCGGGGCUAAUACCGGAUGGUUGUCUGAACCGCAUGGUUCAGACAUAAAAGGUGGCUUCGGCUACCACUUACAGAUGGACCCGCGGCGCAUUAGCUAGUUGGUGAGGUAACGGCUCACCAAGGCGACGAUGCGUAGCCGACCUGAGAGGGUGAUCGGCCACACUGGGACUGAGACACGGCCCAGACUCCUACGGGAGGCAGCAGUAGGGAAUCUUCCGCAAUGGACGAAAGUCUGACGGAGCAACGCCGCGUGAGUGAUGAAGGUUUUCGGAUCGUAAAGCUCUGUUGUUAGGGAAGAACAAGUGCCGUUCAAAUAGGGCGGCACCUUGACGGUACCUAACCAGAAAGCCACGGCUAACUACGUGCCAGCAGCCGCGGUAAUACGUAGGUGGCAAGCGUUGUCCGGAAUUAUUGGGCGUAAAGGGCUCGCAGGCGGUUUCUUAAGUCUGAUGUGAAAGCCCCCGGCUCAACCGGGGAGGGUCAUUGGAAACUGGGGAACUUGAGUGCAGAAGAGGAGAGUGGAAUUCCACGUGUAGCGGUGAAAUGCGUAGAGAUGUGGAGGAACACCAGUGGCGAAGGCGACUCUCUGGUCUGUAACUGACGCUGAGGAGCGAAAGCGUGCGGAGCGAACAGGAUUAGAUACCCUGGUAGUCCACGCCGUAAACGAUGAGUGCUAAGUGUUAGGGGGUUUCCGCCCCUUAGUGCUGCAGCUAACGCAUUAAGCACUCCGCCUGGGGAGUACGGUCG
rnacentral:rRNA from 1 species